rnacentral:SRP_RNA from 1 species
GCAGGGUUCAAUGGUUUGUGCCUCUAAUCCCUCCCAGCUCUUUGGGAGGCUGAGGCUGAGGGAUAGCUUGAGCUCAGGAGUUGUGGGAUGGGCCAUUUGUAUCCAUGCUAAGAUCGGCAUCAAUAUGGGGAGCUGUAGGUCACCAAAUUGCCUAAGAAGGGGUGAACUGGCCCAGGUCAGGAAUGGAGCAGGUCAAAACUCCUGUGCUGAGGAGUAGUGAGAUAAGGAUUGCACUUGUGAGUGGUCCCUGCAGCACAGCCUGGGCAAGAGAGAGAGACCCAGUCUCU